rnacentral:rRNA from 1 species
GACGAACACUGGCGGCGUGCUUAACACAUGCAAGUCGAACGGAAAGGCCCUGCUUUUGUGGGGUGCUCGAGUGGCGAACGGGUGAGUAACACGUGAGUAACCUGCCCUUGACUUUGGGAUAACUUCAGGAAACUGGGGCUAAUACCGGAUAGGAGCUCCUGCUGCAUGGUGGGGGUUGGAAAGUUUCGGCGGUUGGGGAUGGACUCGCGGCUUAUCAGCUUGUUGGUGGGGUAGUGGCUUACCAAGGCUUUGACGGGUAGCCGGCCCGAGAGGGUGACCGGCCACAUUGGGACUGAGAUACGGCCCAGACUCCUACGGGAGGCAGCAGUGGGGAAUAUUGCACAAUGGGCGGAAGCCUGAUGCAGCAACGCCGCGUGCGGGAUUACGGCCUUCGGGUUGUAAACCGCUUUCGCCUGUGACGAAGCGUGAGUGACGGUAAUGGGUAAAGAAGCACCGGCUAACUACGUGCCAGCAGCCGCGGUGAUACGUAGGGUGCGAGCGUUGUCCGGAUUUAUUGGGCGUAAAGGGCUCGUAGGUGGUUGAUCGCGUCGGAAGUGUAAUCUUGGGGCUUAACCCUGAGCGUGCUUUCGAUACGGGUUGACUUGAGGAAGGUAGGGGAGAAUGGAAUUCCUGGUGGAGCGGUGGAAUGCGCAGAUAUCAGGAGGAACACCAGUGGCGAAGGCGGUUCUCUGGGCCUUUCCUGACGCUGAGGAGCGAAAGCGUGGGGAGCGAACAGGCUUAGAUACCCUGGUAGUCCACGCUGUAAACGGUGGGUACUAGGUGUGGGGUCCAUUCCACGGGUUCCGUGCCGUAGCUAACGCUUUAAGUACCCCGCCUGGGGAGUACGGCCGCAAGGCUAAAACUCAAAGGAAUUGACGGGGCCCCGCACAAGCGGCGGAGCAUGCGGAUUAAUUCGAUGCAACGCGUAGAACCUUACCUGGGUUUGACAUGGAUCGGGAGUGCUCAGAGAUGGGUGUGCCUCUUUUGGGGUCGGUUCACAGGUGGUGCAUGGCUGUCGUCAGCUCGUGUCGUGAGAUGUUGGGUUAAGUCCCGCAACGGGCGCAACCCUUGUUCACUGUUGCCAGCACGUUAUGGUGGGGACUCAGUGGAGACCGCCGGGGUCAACUCGGAGGAAGGUGGGGAUGACGUCAAGUCAUCAUGCCCCUUAUGUCCAGGGCUUCACGCAUGCUACAAUGGCUGGUACAGAGAGUGGCGAGCCUGUGAGGGUGAGCGAAUCUCGGAAAGCCGGUCUCAGUUCGGAUUGGGGUCUGCAACUCGACCUCAUGAAGUCGGAGUCGCUAGUAAUCGCAGAUCAGCAACGCUGCGGUGAAUACGUUCCCGGG